ACAAAUGAUGUUGAUCUUUGAUCGGGUUUUGACGGAUUUACAAUGAUUUACAACGAUACGGGGAUUUAGAUUUAUUAGAGGUUGUCCGACAUAUUCACUGGCAUACGGGACACCCACGCGCUGAACAGUCAUGAAGCAGAACCAGACGAGGGAAGCUGUUAGAGACCGUUUGGAUUAUUAUUUGGAUGGCUCCCCCUAGUGGGCUCUGAGGCGUGUGCACCACCCCUUGACAUGUUCUGGCCCUGACCCCUACUGGGUGGAGCGGGGUGAACUUCCUUCCUGUGGAGACCCACGAAGGUUCUUCGAAACAACAGUUAUUUCCUGGGAUGCCAGUGUUGCCCGGAUAUGAGUGCAUAUAGUAAACAGAGCUGUUCAUACAGUUUGUAGCCUCGUAAGCAGGAAAUGGAGAUGAACACGGAUACAGCAACACUUAAUCACCAGCAUUACUCUUACCUCACUAGAUUUGUAUUUAUGAGGACUAGAGUUACUUAUAAUGAGAGACUGAAGAUGGGGGUACACCGACCACAACCUUCAGAUUAGACGUUGUCCAUGUUGUCGGCAGUUGCAAUUGAUAUAAAUAAAAAGUUAAGCUGAUGCAAUGUUAAAAUCCUUUCUCCUUUUCCCAGGUUAAUGUCAAGAAAUGACACGAUAAUGUGUAAACACUUUGGUCUGUGGCGCUUUUGGCAUUGCUUUAUUUAUUUAAGCAGCCACUGAGAAUUUGAGCAGAAUUUUUGUGCAUUUAUUGAGGGUAAUCAAGACCCAUGUGGCUUUAAAUGUACAUCUCAAUUGUACCGUUAAGUUACAGUGGGCUCAUUGGGGACCAGUAGUGAGUUUGAACUAGUGCCAAGAACUACGCUGCGGUUCUAUAUGCUGGGAAACAUCCCACUCUUACUUUCUCAACAAUAUUUUCUUUCCUUUAUGUACCCUUGAUCUCCUACACAGCCUGAUAGAUUUACAUUCAUGAAUUUGGCAGUUGUUUUUAACCAAAGCAGCAGACUUUGCAUUCAGGGUAUACAUUUUAUCAUUUCAUGCAUUCCCUGAAAAUUAAACCCAUGGCUGUGGCAUUGCUGGAGUCACGCUCUAUUGUUUGAACCCUGGAAUGCAUCAGGGUGUCGUUCAAAAUAUAUGAAAGGCUUUUGUCACUUGGCAUGUACUGACACACCUUUAGGAAUGCUUUUCAUACACCUGAGCUUUCUUUUUGUCAAUAAUACAUGCUAAAAGUUAGAAGUGUAGUUUAUUUUGUUUCAUUUUGCUUUGCUUUGAAUUUUUGUUUAUUUUUUUGGUUUAUUUUGCUUUGUUUUGAAAUGUUUUUUUUUUUUUGUGUUUGCUUUGUUUUGCCUUUUGUUUUCAUUUUGUUUUGCUUUGUUUGUAAUUGCGUUUUGUUUUGCUUUGUUUUUAUUUUGUUUUGCCUCGUUUUGCUUUGUUUUAAAUUGCUUUUUUUUGUUGUUUUUUGUCUUUGAUUUGAUUUGCUCUUCUCUUUGUUUUUUCUCUACUCUUGAGUCUUUUUUUGUUGUUGUUUGUUUAUUUGUUUGUUUGCGUUGCCUUGCUUUAUUUUGUUAAAUUAUUAGUAUUUUAUUUUUUGUUUUGUUUUUCUUUGAUUUGCUUUGCUUUUGUCUCACAACCCAUGUGACCCAUUUUAUCUCUUUACUCUGCUAUGACAGGCCUUUUGAGUUUGAAUUAUCCAGCUGGGCCUCUGGAAGGCCUGAUUCCUGACCCUUAACAUUUGCACUAUAAACCUGACCAACAGCAGGAGGAGACACUGACUCAAUCUUCAAGCAAACAUCAGGCUCACCUACAGGGUUCCACUGCAGAUUUCGGCCUGCUGGUUGUUGGGGUGGUUGUCAUGGGCGGAGCCAAACAUCUGGAGCGAUAAGACUUUCUGCCAUGUGCUCGGAGUUGCCCUUCCAUCCACUUUAUAUAACCUGAUCUUACAGUGACGUGUGUGAGAUUAAACGCGAAGUCCAGGCUUGCAGGACACGGGUCGGAUGAAAUUGUUUUGCAGACAAGGCCAGUAUCCAUCCUGAAACAUCACUCUUCUGUAAUUCUGCUCAGGACAACAGAGGAUCGGAAAACCUGAGAACACUCUUGAAAUGGCAACAGGAAACAAGGAGAAAUGAAGUGAUCUCCAUGCCAGAGGCUCUUUAGAGAUCCAAGAGUCCCAUCAGCAGUAGCGCAGAAUGGUCCAUAAACCCAGCGGUCUCCACUCAAGUUUCCAUCUGCUAAAUUCUAGUCCGUUUAAAUAAGAGGCGGAAUCUUUUUCCAGCAAGUACAUUUAUUGCUUGACAUUUCCUCUUGUGAAAUGGUCGUAGCAGAACAUCACAACAGCAUAUGCUGAGCAUGCAAGUGUUGUUCACUGGAGAAACUAUCAGGAGCAAAAUGGGAUACCACAAUAACUGCUGUACUGAGAUUGGUGGGACAGCCAGAUAGACGUGUGAGAAUUGGCUUCAACAUCCUUGACCUUCAGGGAGUGUUUGUUUAUGCUGAAGAAACAGAGAGCUGAGUGUGCAUAACUGCUCUGCAAAUCAGGAAAUUAUAUAUUAAAAGGUUCCUGUUUCCUCAUGUAUCAGAGUACCACAGGACAAGCUCUGCCUUGUCAAGCUCCAUCUCCUUGCUCUGGGACAAUAAGAACGUCUCCACCAAGAUCCUGGAUCACUGACAAACAAAGCAUUGCACUGGCGUGACAGAAAAGUGAUGACAGGCCGGCUGUAUCCCCUGCUGAGUAGAUGGCUGCACAUUAAUUUGGACAAAGCUGGACGGAAGAAGACAAGCCAGAACAGAAUUGUCAUUUUUGGUGUCCCGCAUCUAAUUUCAAGACAGUGGAUAUGCACACACAGACAGAGUUUCACCGAGAUCGACGUAGGAUGAUGAAAGUAUCAACUGAACAUAUGGUAAAUCUCAUCCAUUCCGACUGUUAAUGUUGAGAGAAAUCUGGUUUGUUACAAUUGCCUCCUGUGUCCCUCCUGUGCCAUUUACUGUCCUCAUAAACACUCAUCCUUCACUGUCCAGUCACCUCAAAGAAAGCGGUAUCAGGAUGGGAUGAAGACAAUCCACUGUUUUCAUGAACCAGCCCUCUCUCCUAAAUGUCUGUCCUCCGUUCUGGCUGAAAGAGAAGCUCUGUUCUCCACUGGACAACAUGGUGCAGAUACAACAGGAAAAGGACCGUCUUGUUAGCAGCUUGUGAGCAGAGCGUUUCAUUUCAGAUGCACAGACUGAGGGGGUGGAUGGAUGGAUGAAAGGGUGAAGAGACUGGAAAAAUGUCACCCCGCAAAUAGAGGCAGGCUUGAAUGUUUUGUCCCCUUAAUGGGCCACAGAUAUGGACAUUCCAGUCCUUUUGUGUUUUUGGAUUUGAUUUUGACCAUAACUGAAGAAUGUGAAAGCAGGGCUGGCCAAAGUGGAGCGUGUUUCACACAGAACUGAAUCUUUCCAGACAAUUGAUGUUUGUUUUCAGGCUGAGAGAAUCUUAUUUUGCCUGGAAUCUUAUUCAUAUAGUUCACGGAAACUUUCUGGCCUGCGGUGAUGGAUGUGUGUUGCACAACUCUACACAUUUAUAGGCUGCAUGAACUGAAAUAAAAUGAACUGACAACAGUACAUCAUGUAGUGAGGUCCAAAUGUCUGAGACCAAUAAAUGUUUGUAUUUUGAAAUCGUA